rnacentral:rRNA from 1 species
GACGAACGCUGGCGGCGUGCUUAACACAUGCAAGUCGAACGGAAAGGCCCUGCUUUUGUGGGGUGCUCGAGUGGCGAACGGGUGAGUAACACGUGAGUAACCUGCCCUUGACUUUGGGAUAACUUCAGGAAACUGGGGCUAAUACCGGAUAGGAGCUCCUGCUGCAUGGUGGGGGUUGGAAAGUUUCGGCGGUUGGGGAUGGACUCGCGGCUUAUCAGCUUGUUGGUGGGGUAGUGGCUUACCAAGGCUUUGACGGGUAGCCGGCCUGAGAGGGUGACCGGCGACAUUGGGACUGAGAGACGGCGCAGACGGGUACGGGAGGCAGAAGGGGGGAAUAUGACAGAAUGAGCGGGAGCCUGUUGCAGAGACGCCGCGUGCGGAAUGACGGGCUUCGAGUGGUAAACCACUUUCGCAUGUGACGAAGCGUGAGUGACGGUAAUGGGUAAAGAAGCACCGGCUAACUACGUG